rnacentral:rRNA from 1 species
CCUACGGGAGGCAGCAGUGAGGAAUAUUGGUCAAUGGACGAGAGUCUGAACCAGCCAAGUAGCGUGAAGGAUGACUGCCCUAUGGGUUGUAAACUUCUUUUAUAUGGGAAUAAAAUGUUCCACGUGUGGGAUUUUGUAUGUACCAUAUGCAUAAGGAUCGGCUAACUCCGUGCCAGCAGCCGCGGUAAUACGGAGGAUCCGAGCGUUAUCCGGAUUUAUUGGGUUUACAGGGAGCGUAGGUGGAUUGUUAAGUCAGUUGUGAAAGUUUGCGGCUCAACCGUAAAAUUGCAGUUGAAACUGGCAGUCUUGAGUACAGUAGAGGUGGGCGGAAUUCGUGGUGUAGCGGUGAAAUGCUUAGAUAUCACGAAGAACUCCGAUUGCGAAGGCAGUUCACUGGACUGCAACUGACACUGAGGCUCGAAAGUGUGGGUAUCAAACAGGAUUAGAUACCCGGGUAGUC